AAUCCAUAGGUUAAUGAGGCGAACCGGGGGAACUGAAACAUCUAAGUACCCCGAGGAAAAGAAAUCAACCGAGAUUCCCCCAGUAGCGGCGAGCGAACGGGGAGGAGCCCAGAGCCUGAAUCAGCAUGUGUGUUAGUGGAAGCGUCUGGAAAGGCGCGCGAUACAGGGUGACAGCCCCGUACACAAAAGCGCAUGUGCUGUGAGCUCGAUGAGUAGGGCGGGACACGUGGUAUCCUGUCUGAAUAUGGGGGGACCAUCCUCCAAGGCUAAAUACUCCUGACUGACCGAUAGUGAACCAGUACCGUGAGGGAAAGGCGAAAAGAACCCCGGCGAGGGGAGUGAAAAAGAACCUGAAACCGUGUACGUACAAGCAGUGGGAGCCCCACCACCAAAGCGUUUCGCUUUGUGUGGUGCACAAAGAAGCGUAACGACAGCACUGAAUGACGGUUAACGGAGCGCAAGCGACGUUCAACAUACAAAGUCAAGCAGUGGAGCGCUUUGGGGUGGGGUGACUGCGUACCUUUUGUAUAAUGGGUCAGCGACUUAUAUUCUGUAGCAAGGUUAACCGAAUAGGGGAGCCGGAGGGAAACCGAG
rnacentral:rRNA from 1 species